CUACUCACUGGGGGAGGGGACUAUCCAAGGGCACGAGUACCAGGAGGUGACAACCAUUGGGGGCCAUCCGAGACUAGUCAUCUGAGUCUCAGCUUCUGAAGAUUCCUCCAAGGACAGCUCUAGGAGGCAGCGAGGUGCAGCGUUAUGGGCACUGGAUGUGGCGUCAGAGGAACUGAGAAUCAAACGCCAGGUCAUCUACACUCCGCUGUAUCACCAGCUGCUAUGUUGGGAGGACACUCAAGCAGCCUGGAGGGUGACCUGCGUGGUAAGGAGUAGAGCCUGCCCACAGCCACAUAGUGAACUUGGAGGUGAAUCUUCUGAGGCUGCCAACAUGUAAAUAAGCUUGGAAAUGGUCUUCAAGCCCGAAGUCAAUGGAACCCCCUUCCCAUGAAAGCGCAGCUCCGGCAAACAGCUCACAGCCUCAUGAGAGACCUUGGGUUAGAGGCAUUCGGCUGCGCUGCAUCCGAAUUUCUGACACGGGGAAGUUGUGGGAUAAUGAAGAUUCAUUGUUUCAAGCUGCUAA
rnacentral:lncRNA from 1 species